AACGAACGCUGGCGGCAGGCUUAACACAUGCAAGUCGAACGGGCACCUUCGGGUGUCAGUGGCAGACGGGUGAGUAACGCGUGGGAACCUACCUGGUGGUACGGAAUAACUCGGGGAAACCCGAGCUAAUACCGCAUACGCCCUGGCUUUAGGGUCGGGGGAAAGAUUUAUCGCCAUCGGAUGGGCCCGCGUCGGAUUAGCUUGUUGGUGUGGUAACGGCGCACCAAGGCGACGAUCCGUAGCUGGUCUGAGAGGAUGAUCAGCCACACUGGGACUGAGACACGGCCCAGACUCCUACGGGAGGCAGCAGUGGGCAAUAUUGGACAAUGGGCGCAAGCCUGAUCCAGCCAUGCCGCGUGAGUGAAGAAGGCCUUAGGGUUGUAAAUCUCUUUCGGCGGGGAAGAUAAUGACGGUACCCGCAGAAGAAGCCCCGGCUAACUCCGUGCUAGCAGCCGCGGUAAUACGGAGGGGGCUAGCGUUGUUCGGAAUUACUGGGCGUAAAGGGCACGUAGGCUGGC
rnacentral:rRNA from 1 species